AGCAGCCGCGGUAAUUCCAGCUCCAAUAGCGUAUAUUAAAGUUGUUGCAGUUAAAAAGCUCGUAGUUGAAUUUCGGGAUCAAGGGAUCGGUCAUGCCUUGGUAUGCACUGGUUUCAUUGGUUCUCACCUUCUAAAGAACCAUAAUGUCAUUCAUUUGAUGUUAUGGGGAAUUAGGACUGUUACCUUGAAAAAAUUAGAGUGUUUAAAGCAGGCUUACGCUUGAAUACAUUAGCAUGGAAUAAUGAAAUAGGACAUCCGAUUCUAUUUUGUUGGUUUCUAGGAUCGAUGUAAUGAUUAAUAGGGAUAGUUGGGGGCAUUAGUAUUCAAUUGUCAGAGGUGAAAUUCUUGGAUUUAUUGAAGACUAACUACUGCGAAAGCAUUUGCCAAGGAUGUUUUCAUUAAUCAAGAACGAAAGUUAGGGGAUCGAAGACGAUCAGAUACCGUCGUAGUCUUAACCAUAAACUAUGCCGACUAGGGAUCGGAUGAUGUUAAUUUUAUAAUGACUCAUUCGGCACCUUACG
rnacentral:rRNA from 1 species